GCCUCCGUGUCGCAAUCGGCUAGCGCGUUCGGCUGUUGAAAGAAUGGUCUGUUGUUCGAGCCCACCGGGGGCU